GACGAACGCUGGCGGCGGGCCUAAUACAUGCAAGUAGGACGCAGUUGCGAACGGGUGAGUAACGCGUAGGUAACUACUUAUCAGGGGGGGCUAACCAUAGGAAACGAUAGCUAAUACUGCAUACGAGUAGAUGGACCUGCGUUGUAGUAGCUAGUAGGUAGGGUAAUGGCCUACCUAGGCAACGCUACAUAGCGGACCGGGUACUGUGAUCCGCGACCCCGGGACUGGGACACGGCCCAGACUCCGACGGGAGGCAGAAGUAGGGAAUCUUCGUCAAUGGGGGGAAGCCUUACCCAGAAACGCCGCGUGAGUGAAGAAGGGUUUCGGAUCGUAAGGCGUUGUUUUUAAGGAAGCGGUACUUAACCAGAAAGGGACGGCUAACUACGUGCCAGCCGCCGCGGUAAUAC
rnacentral:rRNA from 1 species